rnacentral:lncRNA from 10 species
GUUCUCUUUGAAUUCCAGCAUGAUGCAUCGAACCGUACCAUGACAUGGCUAGGACCCAACCUGGUACCAGAAAUGAAGAAAAUGACCCUACAGGACCCACAGCCCUGGACGCUGUGGCUUCCUUGGACAACACAGGCCCCAGACAUUAUGCUGAAGAAGCAGAAGGCUUAGCAAAUCCUGCUCCAAGCCGAAAUACCUGUCACUCCAAAUAAUUUGUUCCAUUUUUAUUCUCUCACUCUGCCUACAACUGGUACCUGCUACACUCUAUUGGGCUCAUCUCUUAAAUCCAUCUUUCUUCUGCCCUGUUACUUAGACAAACACCCACUUCCCAGCUUCUAACAACGUGACGGCUUGGCUAAAAGGGAUUAAUAUACCUUCAGUGGGGUUCCGUAGCAAUGGCACACAUCAGACUAAGGUACCAGGUCACUCCUUGAUUGGAAAAUAAUGUUGCUAAUAAUACUCAUGUUUGUCUUAUGUUAUUUACUAAUUCUAGGAUGAAAAGCCAGAAUACAAGCAGUGACCACCACACCUGACAGACCUCUUGCUGCACAUAUCUGUACUCUCCAAUUAACAAAACCUGAUGCUAAAAACAGAAAAGAGGGGAGAUGUAGGAGAUUGGUCAGGGUGGUGGGAAAAAUUGUAGAAAGAUGAAACCUUGGAAGGCUGGAAGGUUUUACAAAAGCUUCAGAAUAGGAUUUGGCUGAAGGCAGCCAGAUUCUCUUAUCCUGUGCCUUAAAGCUUAAGUUAGAUAACAAGGGGAUAUAAAGAAACUGAUCUAGGUAAGUUAGUUUACUUAGGCCUUGGAACCUGGCCUUUAAUCAUCUGCAGGACUGCUCUCCAGGGAGGGCGACUAUGUUAAUUAUCCACAAGUGUGUUAACUCAAA